AUUGCCGACGGGCCCCUGUUUGCUGUCAUCUCGACCGAUCGUCUCUCCCUGUCGUAGUAGAGGGCGGACAUCAUCGUGUAAAACGAAACAGCUGGUUGCGCGCCUUUAGUACUACGUUACAUCGCGAUGUAGUCUGCUUCUGACAGAAGACACGGCGCGCAAACGUCAAGUGGUCGAUGACCUCGCGAGAAGGUCCAUGAUCGCAUUAUAUACCCCCGGAGCGAAACACUUGACCAAGUCGAAGCGCCGCGAAUAAACGAAAAAAAAUAAGAAAGAAAGGUGUGAAACGGCGCGCUGUUCGAAUCGUACUGCUGCGCAAGUGGUGGCGACUCGGUGCUGACCCAGCUACGGGACUCGUUUUUGUGCUGUCCCCCGCUUAUCGCCGUGCGAAACAGGAUCGUGGCCGGUACACGUGGCCUGUCGCGUUGGCUCCGCGUGGAACCGCGUCGCCCCCGAGGGCGCAGUUGCGAGAGCGGUCGUGCAGGAGUAGGACGCGCUCACACGCACUCGGGCGGCUGAGGUUGUAGGCAGCAUGGUUCUGUACGUGGCCCUGAUAUUCGUUCCCGUUGCCGCGAUCGGCUUUUUCACGUACAAGCUGAUCCAGAGCUUGCGGGACAAAGAGAAGAGGAAGGAAGACAAAAAGAAGCAGAAGCAGCAAAAGAAGAAGGCCAAGUGAGAGAACGGGGCCACUGCCAGAC
rnacentral:lncRNA from 1 species